CCCGGGCACAGGGGGGAAAACGCCUUUGCCAAACUACGGCUUUUCAGGUGCACAUCAGCCUCGAUUGCCACACAUUUCAUUGCACAGUGGUUAUGCUUUCUAAAUGUGUGUCUCUGAACCUUCUUUCAUUGCUAAAAGUGAAGAUCGUUUGUUCAAGCAUUUAUUUGAAGACUAUCAGAGGUGGGUUCGUCCAGUGGAGCGCUUGAAUGACACAAUAAAAAUCAAGUUUGGCCUUGCAAUCUCUCAGCUGGUAGAUGUGGAUGAGAAAAAUCAAUUGAUGACAACAAAUGUGUGGUUGAAACAGGAAUGGAUAGAUGUGAAAUUAAGGUGGAAUCCUGAAGACUAUGCUGGAAUAACAUCCAUCCGUGUCCCAUCAGAUUCCAUUUGGAUUCCAGAUAUUGUGCUCUAUGACAAUGCAGACGGACGUUUUGAGGGAACAUCUACAAAAACUGUGGUUAAAUAUGAUGGCACCAUUGCUUGGACUCCGCCAGCAAACUAUAAAAGUUCUUGUACUAUUGAUGUCACCUUCUUCCCCUUUGACCUCCAAAACUGCUCGAUGAAAUUUGGCUCCUGGACUUACGAUGGCUCCCAGGUUGACCUAAUUCUGGAAGAUUAUGAUGUCGACAAAAGAGAUUUUUUUGAUAAUGGGGAAUGGGAAAUAGUGACGGCAACGGGGAGCAAAGGAAACAGGACUGAUGGAUGCUGCUGGUAUCCUUUUGUUACAUAUUCAUUUAUAAUUAGGCGUUUGCCCCUUUUUUACACGUUGUUUCUCAUCAUCCCUUGUAUCGGGCUUUCGUUUCUCACCGUCCUUGUCUUCUACCUGCCUUCAAACGAAGGCGAAAAAAUUUCACUUUGCACUUCAGUACUGGUCUCUUUGACCGUUUUUCUUCUCGUUAUUGAAGAAAUUAUUCCGUCAUCUUCCAAAGUUAUCCCACUUAUAGGAGAGUACUUGGUGUUCACGAUGAUAUUUGUGACCUUGUCCAUUGUAAUCACUGUGUUUGCCAUCAACAUCCACCACCGCUCCUCGUCCACGCACAACGCGAUGGCGCCUUGGGUUCGCAAGAUAUUUCUUCACAAACUUCCCAAGCUGCUUUGCAUGAGAAGUCACGUGGACAGGUACUUUGCCCAGAAGGAGGAAACAGGAACCAUGAAUGGCUCAGAAUCCUCCAGGAACACCUUGGAAGCGGCUCUGGAUUCCAUCCGCUACAUCACGAGGCACGUCAUGAAGGAGAACGAAGUUCGUGAGGUUGUUGAAGACUGGAAAUACAUUGCUCAGCUUUAUGAAAGAUGCUGGUCCCAGUGUUGCAGCAGUUGCCUCAUUUAGCUCCAGAACUUUACUCUGCAGCAGCAACAGAAUAAACAACAUCAUCCCUACGAGGGACAUUCACUUGUGGUUUUGUUGUUGAUGAACUGAAAACGAAAGCAGAGGAUCUACAGACUCAGAGCUUGAACUCCUGGUGAGAUUGCCACUGAAAUCCGAGAACUUGAUCAAUCAAGCACGUCAGAACCCAGGGGCUGAUAAGAGGAUACCUGUAUUACUGGUAUUCCCACCUCUUCUGUGGACAGUGCAGUUGUUUCUAUGAAAAAGUAAAACUAAAAAAGUAAUUUAAAAUUUUAAGACCACUGUUAGAAAAGGAGUGUCAUCACUGUUGAUCCAUAGAGCUAAGUUUUGGAUGUGGGUAGCCACAGGUUGGUUUCCAUGAUCUGGUUGACUUCGUCCUGGAAGAGAGAGUUGUGUCGGGACAGCUGUGUCGGGGCAGACGCCGGCCCCACCGCGCCGCCCGGUACUCACCACCUUCACCAGCUGCGACAUGGACACCUCGAACUGGAUGAUGACCGGGUCCGAGACGUUCUUGACGGGGCGCAC